UUGCUUGCUUUGGCAGCACAUAUAUGAAAAUUGGAAUGAUAUAGAGAAGAUUAGCAUAGUCCCUGUGCAAGGAUGACACGCAAAUUUGUGAGCAUACCAUAUUUUU
ensembl:snRNA U6 U6 spliceosomal RNA